rnacentral:rRNA from 1 species
AGCACGUAGGUGGGUUUGUAAGUCAGAUGUGAAAGCCUCCUGUUCAACGGGAGAAUUGCAUCUGAAACUACUGAUCUUGAGUGUAGGAGGGGAGAAUGGAACUUCUGGUGGAGCGGUGAAAUGCGUAGAUAUCAGAAGGAACGCCGGCGGCGAAAGCGAUUCUCUGGCCUAUUACUGACACUCAGUGUGCGAAAGCUAGGGGAGCAAACGGGAUUAGAUACCCCGGUAGUCCUAGCCGUAAACGAUGGGCACUAAGUAGAGGGGU